AACGUAGGAGACAAACGUUAUCCGGAGUUACUGGGCGUAAAGGGCGUGCAGGUGGUCUGUUAAGUCUGGCGUGAAAGCUCCUGGCUAAACCGGGAGAGGUCGUUGGAUACUGGCAAACUAGAGGACGGUAGAGGCGUGUGGAAUUCCGGGUGUAGUGGUGAAAUGCGUAGAGAUCCGGAGGAACACCAGUGGCGAAGGCGACACGCUGGGCCGUACCUGACGCUAAAGCGCGACAGCAUGGGGAGCAAACGGG
rnacentral:rRNA from 1 species